rnacentral:rRNA from 1 species
AAAGCGUGCGCAGGCGGUUAUGUAAGACAGAUGUGAAAUCCCCGGGCUCAACCUGGGAACUGCAUUAGUGACUGCAUAGCUGGAGUACGGCAGAGGGGGAUGGAAUUCCGCGUGUAGCAGUGAAAUGCGUAGAUAUGUGGAGGAACACCGAUGGCGAAGGCAGCCCCCUGGGUCAAAACUGACGCUCAUGCACGAAAGCGUGGGGAGCAAACAGGAUUAGAUACCCCUGU